GGGGAAUAUUGCACAAUGGGCGCAAGCCUGAUGCAGCAACGCCGCGUGAGGGACGACGGCCUUCGGGUUGUAAACCUCUUUUAGUAGGGAAGAAGCGAAAGUGACGGUACCUGCAGAAAAAGCACCGGCUAACUACGUGCCAGCAGCCGCGGUAAUACGUAGGGUGCAAGCGUUAUCCGGAAUUAUUGGGCGUAAAGAGCUCGUAGGCGGUUUGUCACGUCUGCUGUGAAAACUGGAGGCUCAACCUCCAGCCUGCAGUGGGUACGGGCAGACUAGAGUGCGGUAGGGGAGAUUGGAAUUCCUGGUGUAGCGGUGGAAUGCGCAGAUAUCAGGAGGAACACCGAUGGCGAAGGCAGAUCUCUGGGCCGUAACUGACGCUGAGGAGCGAAAGCAAGGGGAGCGAAC
rnacentral:rRNA from 1 species